GAUGAACGCUAGCGGCAGGCUUAAUACAUGCAAGUCGAACGGCAGCGGGUCCAGCAAUGGAUGCCGGCGAGUGGCUCACGGGUGCGUAACACGUAUGCAACCUACCUUUAACCGGGACAUAACCUCGAGAAAUCGUGGCUAAUAUUCCAUAAUAUCUUUGAAUCGCAUGGUUUGAAGAUCAAAAUUCCGAUGGUUUUAGAUGGGCAUGCGCGACAUUAGCUAGUUGGUGAGGUAAUGGCUCACCAAGGCUGCGAUGUUUAGGGGGUCUGAGAGGAUGAACCCCCACACUGGUACCAAGACACGGACCAGACUCCUACGAGAGGCAGCAGUAAGGAAUAUUGGGCAAUGGGCGCAAGCCUGACCCAGCCAUGCCGCGUGCAGGAUGACAGCCCUACGGGUUGUAAACUGCUUUUAUACGGGAAAAAACCCUCUGACGUGUCAGAGGCUGAUGGUACCGUAAGAAUAAGCAUCGGCUAACUCCGUGCCAGCCGCCGCAGUAA
rnacentral:rRNA from 1 species